rnacentral:rRNA from 1 species
GUCCCAAUAACGAGCGCCAACCCCUUACCUUUAGUUGCCAUCAAGGUUAAGCGUGGGGACUACUAAAGGAACUGCCUACGCAAGUAGUGAGGAAGGCGGGGAUGACGUCAAAUCAGCACGGCCCUUACGUCCAGGGCUACACACGUGCUACAAUGGCCGAUACAGAGGGCAGCUACCUGGUGACAGGAUGACAAAUCUCCAAAGUCGGUCUCAGUUCGGAUCGGAGUCUGCAACCCGACUCCGUGAAGUUGGAUUCGCUAGUAAUCGCGCAUCAGCCAUGGCGCGGUGAAUACGUUCCCGGGCCUU